rnacentral:lncRNA from 1 species
CUUUGAGCCACUUAAUAUCAGUCUGACCUCUGAGGAGGAAAGGGAGACUAAAUAUUGAGUUCAACACCAUAGUCAGCAAUUCAACCAAUCAUGUCUAUGUUAUAAAAUCUCAUAAAACCUUGAAACUUCUAGUUGGGUUGAGCUUCCUGGUUGCUGAUACAUACUGAUAGUCUGGGAAGGUAACACAUCUUGCAGAGAUGGAUACUUUGAAUUUGGGACUCUGCCAGACUUCAUCCUAUGCCUCUCUUCAUUUGACUGCUCCUGACUUCUAUCCUUUGCAACAUGUAAUUCCACUGUGGGACCCAGGCUGAUGACCAGCUGCUUCACAGUACAUUGCUACUCAUCAGGACAGAGGGGAAAGAGACAUGUCAGCUCAUGAACUUCUGCCCCAAAGUGACACAUGUCUCUUCUACCUAUAUUUCAUCAGUCAAAGCAAGUCUUAAGGCCACUUCAAAGUUCAACAGGGCAUCAUCUUCUCACACCAAGAGGCACUACAUGGACAGGAACUGGAACUUUUGGUAACAAGUAAUAUAAUCUACCGUGCUAAUAAACUGUGUUUUAUCCAUGCCAUAUUUUGCCAUGACCCGUGAUCCCUCUUUCAGAAAUAUUGUGUUUAGAAACAUUCAAACACUUUCUAUUUAGAAAAAAAAAAUCCAUUAAGAUACCAAUAGAUUGAUCCCAACAGAAAGGUCAACAAUAUUUGAGUGGCAAUUUAAAGCUUUCAAAGCACUUUCAACUAAAUAUCUCAUUUGUUCUUUCAAAGUACUCUAUGAAUAUUUGAACUCUGAACUUUGAUCUUAAAUUUACCUGUUCUUUUUAUUAAUCCAUAUUGUACUUAUUUCCAAAUGAAAAAAAAUUACACGUGUAGGUAUUUUAUCUCCUUUUAGUCUUUCAUGAUUUGAAUUUGAUCAUACUAAACUGGGCUUACUAAAAAUUACUAUUAAAAUUUUUAUGGAUUUUUUAAUUCAUCUGUAUUUCCUUUGUGUUCUAUGUUAUAUCCUUUUAUUUUCACACCAUCUCCUGUGACAACUCUUGUUCUUGUUAAUAACCCAUUGUCAUUAGCAAAUCCUACAUAUUACCUUUCCUGCUGCUCUCUUAAUUUUCUUAAAGCAGGUCAUUGCUAUUUCAUAAUUAUUCUGCUUUCUUAAAUAAUUCUGAAUCUCAUUUCCCAAAGUCAUUCUCUUCAUAGACUUCAUAUAGGAAAUUUAGGUAGGUAU